UUUAGAUUUCACACCUUACUCCUUUUUUUUCUGUGAUAAGAAACUAUGAAGUAUUUGUUGCAGGUCUUAGUUUCCUUCUUGAUAGAUGAGGCAACUGGAAGGCAUGGACUAUUGAAAUGAAAUGCAAGGCCAAGGUCUUUAGCUAAUAUCUAAAGAAGGGCUGCUCUCCCAAUUUCCAGAUGAAAUUUCCUAUGGCCUUUUAUGAAACCAUGGCAGGAUCUCCUUAAUCCUUAAUUAAUUCUCCAGCUCUCUUCUCCUUCCUCGAGUUGUCCCAAUUAGGAAUGUCUUCAGGCAGAAUCUCCAUUAGGAAAGGGUCACUUGUGUCUUGUUGACUCGUGUAUCCCCACCAUGUAACCAUAAUACUUAGUAAUAAGUAUUUAUGGACUCAGUAAAUGAGUGAAUAAGUGAAUGAGUGCAAAGGCUUGUAGCAGAGGUUUGCUUGUAUUCACUGGAGCUCUCUGCUGAGCCUGAGUGGUGGAGCCCCAAUUUGACACACUGCACUAUCACUGUCUUUGAGCGCACUAUUGUUGAAACGGCUCUCCUGGCCUCACCUUGCCUAAUCUGCCCACUUCAUCACUUUCCUCAGGUCAACUGGAGACUUUGGUUUGUUGCAGAAGCUGUUGGUUUUGAUCUGUUCCUCCUUGGCACCAGGGGAGGUUAGGAAGAGCGAAUCUAAACAAGAUUGGCAAAAAAGCUUCACAUGUGAGAUAAAUGCACUCAAAGAUUCCUCACAAGUAGCUCUUUGGAGCUUCAGAUGUGAAAUGGAUCAUUCCUCAAUCUGUAAUAGACCCUUCUGUGAAGCUCUUCAAUCAAACUAGAGAAUUCAAGGUGAAAUUGAGGGGAGGAUUGGAAACCCCUACAGGGGGAUUUGAGUGAACUAGCUGAGAAAGGAACCUGAGGUAUUUGCCCUGUGCUGCCUCUUUUUUCAGUUCUUUUCUUCAGCCUAGGAAGGCUGUCAAUCAACAUAUGACCUUACAUGCUGUAUGUGCAUAAUACCUGGGUACAACAAGACAAGCUGUAAGGGGAGUAUCAAAUGCACCUUUGAUUUCUUUCCAUUUGUCACUUUUCUGACAACUCUUAGGCUAUUUUUAAAGUAGCUAUUUUAUACAGAUUUGUUAUUAGAUUUUUCUCUCU
rnacentral:lncRNA from 1 species